CGGCCGCAAGGUUAAAACUCAAAUGAAUUGACGGGGGCCCGCACAAGCGGUGGAGCAUGUGGUUUAAUUCGAUGCAACGCGAAGAACCUUACCUACUCUUGACAUCCAGAGAACUUUCCAGAGAUGGAUUGGUGCCUUCGGGAACUCUGAGACAGGUGCUGCAUGGCUGUCGUCAGCUCGUGUUGUGAAAUGUUGGGUUAAGUCCCGCAACGAGCGCAACCCUUAUCCUUAUUUGCCAGCACGUAAUGGUGGGAACUUUAGGGAGACUGCCGGUGAUAAACCGGAGGAAGGUGGGGACGACGUCAAGUCAUCAUGGCCCUUACGAGUAGGGCUACACACGUGCUACAAUGGUCGGUACAGAGGGUUGCGAAGCCGCGAGGUGGAGCUAAUCUCACAAAGCCGGUCGUAGUCCGGAUUGGAGUCUGCAACUCGACUCCAUGAAGUCGGAAUCGCUAGUAAUCGUAGAUCAGAAUGCUACG
rnacentral:rRNA from 1 species